CGCUGACCUGCCGUCUCCUCUCCUCUCAUCCCGGCAACUUCCUGAGGGCAGGGAUUCACCCCCCCUCGCCAUUCCCGUCUGCUCGGAGACGCUGCUGCCCCUGUCACCGCUACCUGUCCUGGACCUAUUCCCUGUGAGGGUUAAGCCCGUCCCUGACCUGCCAUCUGCCUCUCCACCUGUCACCUGAGGGGGCGCUGGCGUCGAGCUGUCCUCAAG